rnacentral:pre_miRNA from 1 species
GUAAGAAAUCUUUGUAGUUUUCUGUACCCUCGUGAAAACUGAAGAGAUUUUUUACAG